CAGGUACAGCACAGUCUGCAAGCGGAAGGCAAGGGGGUGUGGCAAGGGCGGGCCUAGAUGCCAAACAUGAUUGGCCCUUGGAGGUCCUUUCAAGGCUCAGACCUUCCUAAGGGCGUGGGAAGCCAAUGAAGAGAUUCCAGCAGGGCAAUGGUAAGAGCACAUGUGCAUUUUAAAGAGCACCUGGCUUUCGUGGGGAAUAUACUGGAAGACAGUUAAAGGGCUGCUGCCAUCCUCCCCGGCUGCUCUGUGUGCUUGGCCUAAGAUCCAAACCCUCACCUGGGCCUGCAGGGCCCUUCGCACCCGACCCCAGCCUUCUGCUCCCACCUCCUGUCGUGCCGUGUCCUCUGUCCGCUGUCUCUCUGGAACAGGGCAGAAUCUUUUCCAUCUUGGGACAUUGUAACACGCUAAUCCCCUUUGCCUGGAACACUUUUGCUUAGCUCUUCUCAGAACUGGCUUGUUACUAGAGCUUUCUUUCAGCUCCAGAGUCACCUCCUCAGAGAAGCCUUCCCUGGCCCCCUUCUUAAAAUACCUCCCAUUAUUUCUUUCAAUCCGCUCAUCAUUAUCUGAAACUAUCUCAGGCCUUAUAUGUUUGCAUAUUUGUUUGUCUUUUGGCAUUAGGAUAUAAACUUCUGGCCUUCCGUGUCUAAUUUGCUCUUGUGCAUGACAGUCGGAGCUUUGGAGCCGGGAGGAACACAGGGAAACAUGGUAGACCGAGUGCAGGAGAGGGCCCAGGAUAUAACUGGAAGGAUGUAAAUACCAGAGGGUGAGCUGGCGCUGGAGACUGCAGGAACAUCUGGGCAGAAGAGGAGCGUCAUGUCGUGGAAGACCAUGGAAGACAGUGUUUGAAGGAGUUCGCGGUAUGAAAACUAAGGUGCAGAGAGAUGGAAAUAACUAUUGAAAGUCACAAAACUGAUUUAUUCUAGUCUCCCAUGUGUUGGCCAAACAGUCCCAAUUGGUCAAAGUGAAUUUGAAGAAAAAUCUAUGUUAACUGGAAGCAUAAAUUCACAAAAGAGGAGGACAAGAAGGACAAUGAGAAGUUCCAGACGUUGCCUUGAAUAAUCUCCUGAAAGGAAGAACAACAAAUCCUCUGGAUUUGGGAGCAGCUGGACGUCGGCCUUCCGUCUUUUAUGCAUAUGCUCCUCUUUCCUGGCACAGUGUCACCUCGGGCUCUGUCCCUUUCUGGUCUGAAGGAGGAUGAGUGUGCCUGAGAGGAUGGAGCGGGUGUGGAAGACAGGCCAGCAGCCCUCCUGCUCCUACAAGCAGCAAGCGUGUGCACACGGUGAUGAUGGGCUUCUAGCCUUCAGGAGAACGUGCCCUGGUGCCUCUGAAUGCUGCUGUUGGUUCCUCCCACCACACACGCACAUGCACACACACACAUGCACACACGCACACGCACACGUAUGCACACACAGUGCAAUGCACUCCUCCAAAAACACCAAUCUCUGAGAGAAUGCAGCCAGCUGGAACCCACCGUGGAACCUCCUUCUCUUGUUACCUCAGGACAUAAUGGAGACUGACUUUCUGGGAGAUUGCUCGGCCGGGUGGGGAAUGAAAACUUUAAUUUCAAAUCAUCUUGUUUGCACUUUCCUUGAGAAAAAUCUUGGCUUGGAUGAUACCCAAUAUAAUGUGAUCUAUUUUGUAGCAUUGUGAAGAAAGCAACUACCAUCUUCAACCUCAUCAUCUUAUAAAGGACAAUUAUGGCAUCAAAAAAAUCAGCGAGCAUGAUCUUACUCUCUGGCCCUGGUUCAAGAGCUGGCCUUAGUGCGUUGGCUUUGAAGUCAGAUAACCUGGGGUCAAGUCCGUGCCUUCCCACCGGGUGGCUGUGUGGCCUUGGGUACAAUAAUAUACUCGACAUGUAUCAGUCAACUGCAUUUAUUAAUCACCCACUGUGUGUUCAGCGUCUGGUGCUAUGGAGCCUUGGCGAGAAAGACAUUCAAGGACUUCAUAGUGUAAUGGAGGAGAAGAAGAAACACAAAUGUGUACAUGUAAACAAGCAGGGCUGGAAAUGUUUAAACACACACACACACACACGCACACACACACAUAAUCCUGAGCAUCUGUACAAAGACAGGUGGAAAAGACAAAAGGCUGUCACUAACACACUGACAUCGGAAGCUCGGAGCCCUCUGCUCGUUGCGUACACAUGAAGAGACAGCUCGUCCAGGUCAGCAGAGAGGAAUAUGACCUCUGACCCCUGCCCUCUGGCCAGAGGAGAGUCCCAAGGCUGGAUUGAUGUCAAUGUCAUCCCCAGGCUGCUUUACAUUUUUCAGAAGGAUCACACUGUGCAUUUGACGAUGGAG